rnacentral:lncRNA from 1 species
GGGGUAUUUAUACAAUAGUAGAGUUUUACGAGGGUAUACAUGCAAAUAUCAAUUUUAAAAAGGUAUUCAUGCAAAAUUCGAUAUUUAGAAGGGUAUUCAUGCAAAAAAACCCAUUUAAAAACUAUAUAAGUAAUCUUAUGCACAGGCUAUCGAACUCUAAUUCCUACUUAAAGCUUUCACUUUGAAUAACUUAAAUUAUAUACCUAAAUCCACGGCCCAAGACUCUUAGGUUGUCUCUCCACUUGUAUCUUUUACCAAUCAUUUGUUCAUAAAAUGUUCUAAAUUCUUUAUUACAUGCAUCCUAAAGCAGUAAUAUUUUCUUCCGCAGAAUGUCAGACUUAAACAGCCUCCUAUACAUGAAAUCGGCAUGUCUCAAAUUCUCAUAUAGGGCCAGAUUGCAAGACGGUCAUGUGGGGCCUGCACAGGGACGUAUUAGGUGGACAUCCAGCUGUGGUAGUAACCAUCUACACAGCCAUGUAGCUAAGAUCUCUUUUUUCCUUUGAUUCAAUAUAUAUUUACAGUUAAUCAUUAGAAGCAAGAUCAACCAACUCACAUCAUGUGAUUGUAGUGUGAUAGCCAGCUCAAAAUGUCAGUACUUGACCAACAAAGUUAUGACUCACCAAAAAUUUGACAGGCAUUAAUGUUUAGGUAUGGACAUUUCUAUUCCCUUCUCAAUUCUUAGCCUAUGGUGGAUGUGGAGAAGGAACAAUUUUUUUAACCUCAGGGCA